GACGAACGCUGGCGGCGUGCCUAAUACAUGCAAGUCGAGCGGACCUCUUCGGAGGUCAGCGGCGGGCGGGUGAGUAACACGUGGGCAACCUGCCUGUAAGACUGGGAUAACACCGGGAAACCGGUGCUAAUACCGGAUAAUCCUUUUCCUCACAUGAGGGGAAGCUGAAAGACGGUUUCGGCUGUCACUUACAGAUGGGCCCGCGGCGCAUUAGCUAGUUGGUGGGGUAACGGCCCACCAAGGCGACGAUGCGUAGCCGACCUGAGAGGGUGAUCGGCUACACUGGGACUGAGACACGGCCCAGACUCCUACGGGAGGCAGCAGUAGGGAAUCUUCCGCAAUGGACGAAAGUCUGACGGAGCAACGCCGCGUGAGCGAAGAAGGCCUUCGGGUCGUAAAGCUCUGUUGUCAGGGAAGAACACGUACCGGAGUAACUGCCGGUACCUUGACGGUACCUGACCAGAAAGCCACGGCUAACUACGUGCCAGCAGCCGCGGUAACAC
rnacentral:rRNA from 1 species